rnacentral:misc_RNA from 1 species
AUUAAAUGGUGCAAAAACAAUACCAAAGUAAACAAAAAAUCUGAAGGAAUAUCGUUUCACACGUUUCCAACGAAUAUUUUAAUAAGAGGUGAAUGGGUAGCGGCUGUAAGACUGAGAAAAUGACCACGAUUAUGCUGGCCAUGCGCAUAAAGUCAAUUUAAUACGAUUAGUGAUUGAAAAAUAUUUGAACUUAAGACUACAUCAUAUUAGUAAAAUGCAAACAAUGACGAUGACUCUGAGUUCUAAGCGAC